rnacentral:tRNA from 1 species
AAGACCUUAAGUUAGAUAAACUUGUAGCCUUCAAAGCUAUAUACAAAGGGCCAACCUUUAGGCCUUG